rnacentral:rRNA from 1 species
GCUCAGAUUGAACGCUGGCGGCAGGCCUAACACAUGCAAGUCGAACGGUAACAGGAAGCAGCUUGCUGCUUCGCUGACGAGUGGCGGACGGGUGAGUAAUGUCUGGGAAGCUGCCUGAUGGAGGGGGAUAACUACUGGAAACGGUAGCUAAUACCGCAUAAUGUCGCAAGACCAAAGAGGGGGACCUUCGGGCCUCUUGCCAUCGGAUGUGCCCAGAUGGGAUUAGCUUGUUGGUGGGGUAACGGCUCACCAAGGCGACGAUCCCUAGCUGGUCUGAGAGGAUGACCAGCCACACUGGGACUGAGACACGGUCCAGACUCCUACGGGAGGCAGCAGUGGGGAAUAUUGCACAAUGGGCGCAAGCCUGAUGCAGCCAUGCCGCGUGUAUGAAGAAGGCCUUCGGGUUGUAAAGUACUUUCAGCGGGGAGGAAGGGAGUAAAGUUAAUACCUUUGCUCAUUGACGUUACCCGCAGAAGAAGCACCGGCUAACUCCGUGCCAGCAGCCGCGGUAAUACGGAGGGUGCAAGCGUUAAUCGGAAUUACUGGGCGUAAAGCGCACGCAGGCGGUUUAUUAAGUCAGAUGUGAAAUCCCCGGGCUCAACCUGGGAACUGCAUCUGAUACUGGCAAGCUUGAGUCUCGUAGAGGGGGGUAGAAUUCCAGGUGUAGCGGUGAAAUGCGUAGAGAUCUGGAGGAAUACCGGUGGCGAAGGCGGCCCCCUGGACGAAGACUGACGCUCAGGUGCGAAAGCGUGGGGAGCAAACAGGAUUAGAUACCCUGGUAGUCCACGCCGUAAACGAUGUCGACUUGGAGGUUGUGCCCUUGAGGCGUGGCUUCCGGAGCUAACGCGUUAAGUCGACCGCCUGGGGAGUACGGCCGCAAGGUUAAAACUCAAAUGAAUUGACGGGGGCCCGCACAAGCGGUGGAGCAUGUGGUUUAAUUCGAUGCAACGCGAAGAACCUUACCUGGUCUUGACAUCCACGGAAGUUUUCAGAGAUGAGAAUGUGCCUUCGGGAACCGUGAGACAGGUGCUGCAUGGCUGUCGUCAGCUCGUGUUGUGAAAUGUUGGGUUAAGUCCCGCAACGAGCGCAACCCUUAUCCUUUGUUGCCAGCGGUCCGGCCGGGAACUCAAAGGAGACUGCCAGUGAUAAACUGGAGGAAGGUGGGGAUGACGUCAAGUCAUCAUGGCCCUUACGACCAGGGCUACACACGUGCUACAAUGGCGCAUACAAAGAGAAGCGACCUCGCGAGAGCAAGCGGACCUCAUAAAGUGCGUCGUAGUCCGGAUUGGAGUCUGCAACUCGACUCCAUGAAGUCGGAAUCGCUAGUAAUCGUGGAUCAGAAUGCCACGGUGAAUACGUUCCCGGGCCUUGUACACACCGCCCGUCACACCAUGGGAGUGGGUUGCAAAAGAAGUAGGUAGCUUAACCUUCGGGAGGGCGCUUACCACUUUGUGAUUCAUGACUGGGGUGAAGUCGUAACAAGGUAACCGUAGGGGAACCUGCGGUUG